GGAACGCUAAUACCGCAUACGUCCUACGGGAGAAAGCAGGGGACCUUCGGGCCUUGCGCUAUCAGAUGAGCCUAGGUCGGAUUAGCUAGUUGGUGAGGUAAUGGCUCACCAAGGCGACGAUCCGUAACUGGUCUGAGAGGAUGAUCAGUCACACUGGAACUGAGACACGGUCCAGACUCCUACGGGAGGCAGCAGUGGGGAAUAUUGGACAAUGGGCGAAAGCCUGAUCCAGCCAUGCCGCGUGUGUGAAGAAGGUCUUCGGAUUGUAAAGCACUUUAAGUUGGGAGGAAGGGCAUUAACCUAAUACGUUAGUGUUUUGACGUUACCGACAGAAUAAGCACCGGCUAACUCUGUGCCAGCAGCCGCGGUAAUACAGAGGGUGCAAGCGUUAAUCGGAAUUACUGGGCGUAAAGCGCGCGUAGGUGGUUUGUUAAGUUGGAUGUGAAAGCCCCGGGCUCAACCUGGGAACUGCAUCCAAAACUGGCAAGCUAGAGUACGGUAGAGGGUGGUGGAAUUUCCUGUGUAGCGGUGAAAUGCGUAGAUAUAGGAAGGAACACCAGUGGCGAAGGCGACCACCUGGACUGAUACUGACACUGAGGUGCGAAAGCGUGGGGAGCAAACAGGAUUAGAUACCCUGGUAGUCCACGCCGUAAACGAUGUCAACUAGCCGUUGGAAUCCUUGAGAUUUUAGUGGCGCAGCUAACGCAUUAAGUUGACCGCCUGGGGAGUACGGCCGCAAGGUUAAAACUCAAAUGAAUUGACGGGGGCCCGCACAAGCGGUGGAGCAUGUGGUUUUAUUU
rnacentral:rRNA from 1 species